CAGCCACAUCAUGUUGAAACACCGAUUCCCCUACGAUCACCGAAGUUAAGCAACGUUAAGCCUGGCCAGUAGCGAUAUUGGAGACCUCUUGUCAAUACCAGGUGGUGUA